AAUAUUGGACAAUGGGGGGAACCCUGAUCCAGCCAUGCCGCGUGUGUGAAGAAGGCCUUUUGGUUGUAAAGCACUUUAAGCGAGGAGGAGGCUACCGAGAUUAAUACUCUUGGAGAGUGGACGUUAUUCGCAUAAGAAGCAACGGCUAACUCUGUGCAUGCAUCCGCGGUAAUACGGAGGGUGCAAGCGGUAAGCGGAUUUACUGGGCGUAAAGCGCGCGUAGGUGGCCAAUUAAGUCAAAUGUGAAAUCCCCGAGCUUAACUUGGGAAUUGCAUCCGAUACUGGUUGGCUAGAGUCAGGGAGAGGAUGGUAGAAUUCCAGGUGUAGCGGUGAAAUGCGUAGAGAUCUGGAGGAAUACCGAUGGCGAAGGCAGCCAUCUGGCCUAAUACUGACACUGAGGUGCGAAAGCAUGGGGAGCAAACAGG
rnacentral:rRNA from 1 species